CCUACGGGCGGCUGCAGUGGGGAAUAUUGCACAAUGGGCGCAAGCCUGAUGCAGCCAUGCCGCGUGUGUGAAGAAGGCCUUCGGGUUGUAAAGCACUUUCAGCGGGGAGGAAGGCGUUAAGGUUAAUAACCUUGUCGAUUGACGUUACCCGCCGAAGAAGCACCGGCUAACUCCGUGCCAGCAGCCGCGGUAAUACGGAGGGUGCAAGCGUUAAUCGGAAUUACUGGGCGAAAAGCGCACGCAGGCGGUCUGUCAAGUCGGAUGUGAAAUCCCCGGGCUCAACCUGGGAACUGCAUUCGAAACUGGCAGGCUAGAGUCUUGUAGAGGGGAGUAGAAUUCCAGGUGUAGCGGUGAAAUGCGUAGAGAUCUGGAGGAAUACCGGUGGCGAAGGCGGCCCCCUGGACAAAGACUGACGCUCAGGUGCGAAAGCGUGGGGAGCAAACAGGAUUAGAUACCCGAGUAGUC
rnacentral:rRNA from 1 species